rnacentral:rRNA from 1 species
UACGAAGGGGCUAGCGUUGUUCGGAAUUACUGGGCGUAAAGCGCACGUAGGCGGCUUUGCAAGUUAGAGGUGAAAGCCCGGGGCUCAACUCCGGAAUUGCCUUUAAAACUGCAUCGCUAGAAUUGUGGAGAGGUAAGUGGAAUUCCGAGUGUAGAGGUGAAAUUCGUAGAUAUUCGGAAGAACACCAGUGGCGAAGGCGACUUACUGGACACAUAUUGACGCUGAGGUGCGAAAGCGUGGGAGCAACAGG